ACAACGGAGAGUUUGAUCCUGGCUCAGGACGAACGCUGGCGGCGUGCCUAACACAUGCAAGUCAACUAGCAGCAAUGUUGGUGGCGAACGGGUGAGUAACGCGUAGAUAAUCUACCCUUUAAUCAUGGAUAACCUAGUGAAAACUGGACUAAUACAGGAUGUGAUCUUGAGACGGCAUCGUUUUGGGAUUAAAGACUACGGGUCGUUAAAGGAUGAGUCUGCGUAUCAUUAGCUAGUUGGCGGGGUAACGGCCCACCAAGGCGACGAUGAUUAGCUGGUCUGAGAGGAUGAUCAGCCACACUGGGACUGAGAUACNNNNNNNNNNNNNNCAGCAGCCGCGGUAAUACGGGGGGAGCUAGCGUUGUCCGGAAUCAUUGGGCGUAAAGGGCAUGUAGGUGGGACUUUAAGUCAAUUGUUAAAUCGUACGGCUUAACCGUAUUAUGCAGUUGAUACUGGAGUUCUUGAGUGUGAGAGGGGACAGAGGAAUACCUGGUGUAGCGGUGGAAUGCGUAGAUAU
rnacentral:rRNA from 1 species